GAUGAACGCUGGCGGCGUGCUUAACACAUGCAAGUCGAACGGACUUUUGAUGAAGCCUAGCGAAUCAAAAGUUAGUGGCGGACGGGUGAGUAACGCGUGGGUAACCUGCCUUAUACAGGGGGAUAACACUUAGAAAUAGGUGCUAAUACCGCAUAAGCGCACAGUUUCGCAUGAGACAGUGUGAAAAACUCCGGUGGUAUGAGAUGGACCCGCGUUGGAUUAGCUAGUUGGUGAGAUAGAGGCCCACCAAGGCGACGAUCCAUAGCCGGCCUGAGAGGGUGAACGGCCACAUUGGGACUGAGACACGGCCCAGGACUCCUACGGGAGGCAGCAGUGGGGAAUAUUGGCACAAUGGGGGAAACCCUGAUGCAGCGACGCCGCGUGAAGGAAGAA
rnacentral:rRNA from 1 species